GGGCUGCCCACAGGCUGCACCAGGGUCGCUGGCCAUUGAUGAAUAGUCUGAGAUCUGACCCCUGUGGGAAAGAUAAAGUGCCAUUUACAGAGGAGCACCCCAGCCUGGCUUGCCUUCCCCAGACAGAGGGGCAGCUCAAGCUCUUGCAUGACACAGGCACCUGGAAUCCAUCAUGGGGAGUAGACUGGGGGAGCCAAGGAUGCAAAGCAUCCCUGGGCCAGGGAAGACCAACAGAACGAACUCCUUCUCAGGAGAUAGAGAGAACUAAGAAUCAUCAGAUCAGCCCCUAAGGCUAAAUUCCCAUAUCUGUUCCAGACAAUCAGGAAUAGACUCAAGAGUGUCAAACCAACAGCUCAGACUCUGCAUUCACGGGAUUGGGGUGAGGGUGAGGAUGAGAAAAGAGGCUUGCCAGAGAGGAGGGCACCCACCAAAGAAAGUGCCCAGGAGAAGGGCAAGGAGAGAGCAGAGCAUCAUCCAAGCCAGCCUUUCCUUCAGCUAGUCUGGGGGACAGACGCCUCCUCUUCUGGGCCAGUGAUGUGGUCAGGCUGCUCCCUCUGGGAGAUCUGCUGCCAGAGCAGAGGAAUCCUACCCCAUGAGCUGGGGAGGAAAUGAGGCUAGUCUUCUUUUAAGAGUGUGGUGAAUCACCCCCAGCCUCCCUGGGAACCAGCUAUACUCUGCACUUGUUAUCUUCUUUGCAUUCCUGCUGACAUCCUGGAAAGGGAUGAGAGAGAGGUGGAGAGAGAAGAAAUGGAAAUUCAAAAGUUUUGACGGCAGAGGAAAAUUGUGCUUAUUUCCAGAAUGAGACGAACAAGGUCCUGGGUCCCUACAUGUCAUACUGGCUAGAGACUGGGAAACAGAUUAACUGAGAGAAGCCAUCAAGCCUGAAGAGACAUCGUGUUUGAAAUGUGUAAGGCACAGUGUACCCGCCGUGGAUCAAAACAACCUGAAGGACAGACAGACAGACACACCGAGGAUCAGCAGAUAUCAGUGGGGACAGGUGCUGAUGAUGGUGCAAAUGAGAGUCAUGAAGGAAAGUUAAAUGAUGACCAAAGACCAAGUACCUUCCCCACAAUGCUUUGACAAGCGCUUUUAUAAGCACCCUGGAAUUUAGACACUACCCGGGGAGAAAAGGAAAGGGAGACAAGCAUGAAUUGUCUGAGAAACCCCUGAAUUAAUCAUGUGUACCCCAAUGCAACAAGGAUCUAGAUAUAGAAUAAUUUUAAUUAUAGAAAACAAAAUUAUAUUUUACCCACCCAUAUUUGAUGCCCAUGAAUUUCACAUCUACCUUACGUGCACAUAAAAUUCAAGCUUAGAUAGACGGAAAACAAAAAAUCAAGAAGCAAUAUUUGCCUUCUAAUAACUUAUCUAUUGGAGGAGGUAAAAGAUAGAAAAGUAGUUCAGAUGACAAAUACUAAAAGAGUUAGGAACUUCUGCUUCCACUUACGAUGAAGGAACUUGUACUCAAUCCAUCCACUUUGUAAUUCUCCUUGAGCUGCUGUAAUAAAGUACCACAAACUGGGUGACUUAAAACAACAGAAUUUAUUGUCUCAUGGUUCUGGAGCCUAGAAGUCUAAAAUCAAGGUAUCAACAGAGCUAUGCUUCC
rnacentral:lncRNA from 1 species